rnacentral:rRNA from 1 species
UACGAAGGGGGCUAGCGUUGUUCGGAAUUACUGGGCGUAAAGCGCACGUAGGCGGUUAUUUAAGUCGGGGGUGAAAUCCCGGGGCUCAACCCCGGAACUGCCUUCGAUACUGGGUAUCUUGAGUUCGGAAGAGGUGAGUGGAAUUGCGAGUGUAGAGGUGAAAUUCGUAGAUAUUCGCAGGAACACCAGUGGCGAAGGCGGCUCACUGGUCCGAUACUGACGCUGAGGUGCGAAAGCGUGGGGAGCAAACAGG